UGGGGAAUAUUGCACAAUGGAGGGAACUCUGCUGCAGCGACGCCGCGUGAACGAAGAAGGCUUUCGAGUCGUAAAGUUCUUUUAUAUGGGAAGAUAAUGACGGUACCAUAAGAAAAAGCCCCGGCUAACUACGUGCCAGCAGCCGCGGUAAUACGUAGGGGGCUAGCGUUGUCCGGAAUCACUGGGCGUAAAGGGUUCGCAGGCGGAAAUGCAAGUCAGGUGUAAAAGGCAGUAGCUUAACUACUGUAAGCAUUUGAAUCUGCAUAUCUUGAGAAGAGUAGAGGUAAGUGGAAUUUUUAGAGUAGCGGUGAAAUGCGUAGAUAUUAAAAAGAAUACCGGUGGCGAAGGCGGCUUACUGGGCUCAUUCUGACGCUGAGGAACGAAAGCGUGGGUAGCAAACAGG
rnacentral:rRNA from 1 species